rnacentral:rRNA from 1 species
UACGUAGGGGGCGAGCGUUGUCCGGAAUUACUGGGCGUAAAGGGCGCGCAGGCUGUUAUGCGAGUCUGCUGUGAAAUGUACCGGCUCAACCGGUGCCUUGCGGCGGAUACUGCAUAGCUGGAGUACUGGAGAGGGAAGUGGAAUUCCCGGUGUAGCGGUGGAAUGCGUAAAUAUCGGGAGGAACACCAGUGGCGAAGGCUGCUGUCUGGAACGUUGCUGACGCUGAGGUGCGAAAGCUAGGGGAGCGAACGGGAUUAGAUACCCCCGUA